rnacentral:rRNA from 1 species
UACGGAGGAUGCGAGCGUCAUCCGGAUUUAUUGGGUUUAAAGGGUGCGUAGGCGGACGCUUAAGUCAGCGGUAAAAUUGCGGGGCUCAACCUCGUCGAGCCGUUGAAACUGGGUGCCUUGAGUGGGCGAGAAGUACGCGGAAUGCGUGGUGUAGCGGUGAAAUGCAUAGAUAUCACGCAGAACUCCGAUUGCGAAGGCAGCGUACCGGCGCCCUACUGACGCUGAAGCACGAAGGCGUGGGUAUCGAACAGG